GCCGAGGUAGCUCAGUCGGUAGAGCGUGCCCUUGGUAAGGGCAAGGUCAUGGGUUCAAUUCCCAUCCUCGGCU
rnacentral:tRNA from 1 species